GAAUCUUAUUCCCAUAAACGGACUCCAAGUGCUCCAGGCCGCUAGAGGUCCACUGCCCCCAUCACCAUCCCCAAAGCUUUUUAUGAUUGGGACAUGUCUUUUUUCUGUCCUAAGUAUAUUAAUACUUUCACGUAAAUAUCUGAAAAAAUAGAAAAGAAUGAAAGAAAGGCGCUGUGUCCUUUAUAGUACAACAGAUUGCAGGAAAGCAUAUCAGGUUUUCAAGUCCUGAUAGGCGAUGUUAGCAUAUUGCUAUCUGUGAGUGGUGCAGCAUUUCUGAAGUGUUAUUAUACUGUCCAUUGUCUAUAAAUGUGAAUAUUCCUCUAUCGUACUAAUGGUAUUUAUUUAAAAUAAGGAGAAGGAGGGAAGACAUCAAUAUUGCACCUGAUAGGUGAGGUCAUUUCUGGCUGUACCUAUGAAUCUUAGUCCUUCAACCAAAUCAUGCAACUUGUAUACACUUAGGUCUAAAAUCCAAACCACAAGUCCACCCCAUAGGAACCACUCCCCUUGACUUGUUCUGCUGCUUCUGAUUUCGAUCCAAGUAUCUGCUCUGUGGUGCUGCGGUGCUUUCAGUUUCUGGCUCCUGCACUAGGCCCUGAGACUUUAUCUCUCUGGUUGUCAAGCUUUGACUUCACUCUCAGCAAACAGGACUUCAACAACACUAGGUUCCUGGCAAACAAGCAUGUGCUCAAACUGAGAACAGGAAUUCAGAGGAAGGAUCUCAGUCUCUAGUUUGGCCCACUCAUCUGCACCAAAAAAUAUCAAAGAAGUUUUAUUCAAGCAGAGCUAACACUAUCAGGAGCUAAAGACAGAUGGAAGUAGAUAAUUUCCAUGGACACCCUUGCAAUCACCAUGAUUAAUUUUAUUGGCCAGAUUCCUCAGAUUUGAAAGCCUUGAAGAGAGGUGUUGAAACUGUCACAGUAACAUAUAAUUAAGAAGGAAAUAGAGCCUUAAAAGAAAUACUGACUCUCCUCUCAUAAAAGGAUACUUAGUAAGUUAUUUAAAGAAGACACCAAAUCCUCAGAAGGUAACCCAGCCUUUCUGAUACCUUCUUAACCUCUUCCCAAUGGUCACCAGUGCACACAGCUACACAUGUACACCCACAUGCACAAAUGCAUGCCCUGAAUUAAUUAAUUAAGCCAAUCCUUUUUAACUAGAAUGUUUCAUCUAGCCUUCCUGGUAAUGACUGAUAGAUACCUAGAUAGGUAAACUUGCAACCUCAGGUAGGUGAAGCUAAAAGAUUUGUAUGAUUUUAUAAUUUUACCUAA